AGUGAACGCUGGCGGCGUGCUUAACACAUGCAAGUCGACAUGAGUGGCGAACGGGUGAGUAAUACGUGGGUAACCUGCCCUCGUUUUUGGGAUAAGCCUUGGAAACGGGGACUAAUACAGAAUAAAGGGGGAUGGGCUCGCGGCCUAUCAGCUUGUUGGUGGGGUGAUGGCCUACCAAGGCGGGGACGGGUAGCCGGCCUGAGAGGUCGCACGGCCACUGUGGGACGGAGAUACGGCCCAGGCUCCUACGGGAGGGAGCAGUGGGCGAUAUUGCACAAUGGGCGAUAGCCUGAUGCAGCGACGCCGCGUGGGGCAUGAAGGCUUUCGGGUUGUAACCGUCUUUCGGUAUCGAACGGUUAGUUGGAGAAGAAGCGCCGGCUAACUACGUGCCAGCAGCCGCGGUAAUUC
rnacentral:rRNA from 1 species